rnacentral:rRNA from 1 species
UACGAAGGGGGCUAGCGUUGCUCGGAAUCACUGGGCGUAAAGCGCACGUAGGCGGCUUUCUAAGUCAGGGGUGAAAUCCUGGAGCUCAACUCCAGAACUGCCUUUGAUACUGGAGAGCUUGAGUCCGGGAGAGGUGAGUGGAACUCCGAGUGUAGAGGUGAAAUUCGUAGAUAUUCGGAAGAACACCGGUGGCGAAGGCGGCUCACUGGCCCGGUACUGACGCUGAGGUGCGAAAGCGUGGGGAGCAAACAGG